AACACUUUAACAGCAUCAGCAUAUUUUUUGACUUCCUGUGCUGUUUCUUGGGUUGAACCACCUAUAUCUUUGUCGAUGGCCAAGACUCUUUGGUAAGUCUUGAUGUCCUGGAACUUCGAAAGCACUGAACUGUCAUCUGACUGAAUCAAAACUUUCUGAGUAGAUUGCUUAUCCAUUGUGGCGUUGCUCAAGGCAGUGGUGACAGCACCAACAAUGUCAAGACCCUUGUUUGAUGCUAGAUAGGCAGCAUUCUGAUUAAAAGAUCAAGUGUUAAUUAACUUGUGCACGGUUGAAGAGUAUAGUAUAAUCAUGAUGUUACAUGAGACGUGGGAUAUGUAAAACGUUUUACAAGGAACCUGGAAAUUAAAAUAUAUCUUGACAAAUGGAGUCCAUGAAAGAGUUUGAAGUGAAGUGAAUCUUACUUCAAUGUUAAUUAGAACUCCUGUAACUGCCCUAUUCUUAGCAAGAUCCAAGAAUUCAUUAAGAGUAACGAACUUUCCUGCAUUCUUGUUUGCAGGGUUUCGAGCAAGAGGGCCAUCAAAAACGCUUGCAAGUUGAGCUGAAAAGGGAGAAAAGCAUCAUAUGUCAAAAGCUUGAAAAGGUGUCAUAACCAUUUUACUAUUAAAUAAAGCGUUUUGCUUACGUUUUAGUGAUUGAAUUUCAGUCCAAGUGAGAUCAAAGGAGAAUAUUCCAUUCUUAUCUUGAAUUUCAGGUAUCCUGGUAGAUCGGUCCAUGAAAAGAGAUGCUGCAGUGGUUGUCCCUAUAAGAUCAGCAGAAGGCAAGCAGAAGGCGGUUCCAUCCUUGGACAGUUGAACAGAACAAUCGAUUAUCUCGGUUCCAUCAUCUAUGGCUUUCUGGUAUGCAAGAUCAGUCGACCCAGGGUAAUCUCCACUUGCUCCGUCGUGAGAUAUUAUCAAUGCUUUAAUGCAAGAAGACAACGAGUUAUUCCAUGCAGCAAUAGAUUGCAUAAUUUUGUUUUCCAAGACUAUGAAACGAUACAAAGUGUAACACUUCUUACCUUUUACAAUUUUGGGAGCAUUCUUGUUCUGGGCUAGGCAUGCUGCAACAUGAGCAGUUCUCAGGUCAGAACUAGAUCAGGUAAAACCAAGGAAGAAAGCUAAUGUAAAAUUUUGAGACAGUUUCAGUCAGUUUGACUUUUUGAUAGGUUUUGCAGUACUCUUCCUUUUGACUCAUUGAGAAAUAUAUUAUAGGAAUGGAGCAGAGAAAAAGCAUAAAUCUCACCAAUGGACUCUGAUGCGGUGGCAGGGAAAUCCGUAAUUACCCCGUCAACCGAAAACUGAGAAUUGUCUAUAAACUGCAGAUACUCCUUGGUUGGAUCAUAGCUAUAAUUAUAACUUAAGUAGUUAUCAUUUGCAAAGCCAGAAGCAUACACUUCAAGACCUGCUUUGUGGAAAUCAGAUACAGAACUCGUAGCAGGCAGCAAUAGCCUUCCACUAUCUACGGGCCAUAUGCUAUCUUUUGGAAGAAUAAUCCCGGAUGCAAAUGUCUUGAUCAUAUUUAUGUCUGACAGCAGUGUAACAUAUGUUUUUUUCGUUGUAGGUUCAACUUCGUUUAUGCCCGGAAUCUUAAAAAUGAGCUUUGCUGGGUUCACCUUUCCUACUAAGCCCUUCAAGAAUCCAAUCUCUGGUGAUGAAAUGUAUGCAGGAUUCAAGUCUCUCAUGGUAUCUAUAAUAAAUGCUGAUGCGCUGAGUUUCAGUCCGUCGUAGAAACUAGGAUACUGCAGCACAAAAUUGCAACAACAUCAAAUCCAAAUUGUGAAAAACAAAGAAAUCCCAAAAAUUUAUGGACGACUCCUCUAAAAUUCGUGAUUGAUUCUUGGUGUAUUUUGAAUUCUGCUUGUGUUAACUUUACCAUUAAUUAGUGUCAGUUAAAUGAAAAUAAAAGAGCAAGGAAAGGACCUCGACGUUCAUCCAUAGCACUGGAGGAGGACCUUGCAUGCCCACAACAUCAUAGGGUGUCAACAGAGGGUAUGAACCAUCCAUACCAGGGGAUCUUGAGUAAAUGCUUUGCACCACUGCCAGAGAAAGUAUGUGAGUUAGAUCAAUUCAAUGGCAAUUCACAAUCUUUGUGUCUAUCUGGUAGCAACUUAAUUGUUAAGCAGAAGAGCAUUACUAACUCAAGAAAUUACUUCUUUGUGCAGAUUAAACAAUACGAAAUGCAGCUUUCUAAGAGAGAACAGAAGGAGAAUGAAGAAGGAUAGCAAAAGAAACUAUGCAGUAGCAUGGAAUUCAUUAUUUUCUACUGUUUGAAAGGGCACUAGCAUUGCUUCCUAAUCUUCUAAUGCGUUUGAGUUCAACCCUUCUUGUAACUUUCUCUGUUCUUAAUUGUAACCAGAUGAUAGUACUCUACAAACUGAGAAAGGAAACUGAAGCUCUGUAUAACCGUCUGACAACUUACAGAAAACGUUUUUGAGUAGAUCAUCUGCCAAAAAAUCCACCCCAUAGAAUCCUUCCACAUUCUUUCCGUUUAUGUUGUAGGUUCUUGGUUUCAAGUCUGGAAAAGCUGUAGCAAUAGUUGUUGCAUUUUGAAGGUUCAGACUAGACUGGCAAAAGCCCUGUGCAUCCUUUGUAAGUUGGAGAUCACAGAGUAAGAUCGUGCUAGCCAAGCUCGUCUGCUGUGCCGUAGAAUAAGCGGGUAAACUGGACUCUGGUGCAAUUCCAGAGAAUCCACCCCUGGCUACUACCACAGGCUCACCUCCUGCAAAGAGUCAAAUCAGAAAAGGGCAUACAAACUUAUAAUUGGACUAAAGCAUUGAGAUCAUUCGCUUCCUUUAAGCAGGAAAUUGAAUACAACUCAAUGUUAUAAUACAUUACCAUUUAGAGUUAGCCACUUUUUUGCAGGAGGGGGAACAACAGCAGGGUGGCGUCUUCCCCUGCCUCUGGCAGCCACUAGAGUGGUUUGGAUCAACAAGAAAGACAAUAACAGUUGCCUGAUCAUUUUCUUCCAAUCCUGUCAGCCUG
rnacentral:lncRNA from 1 species